rnacentral:rRNA from 1 species
AUGAAUUUUCCCAACUUGUCGAGCCAGCGGGCGCAGGAUCUGGCACCUCUCCCGUGGCUUUUCACCGACGAGGAUCGUCGUGUCCACCGGAGGCGGCAGCGUCGCCUCGCCAUCGCAGAGAAGGACGUGGAAGCCUUGGUGCUGUGGCGCGGAGGCUACCCGCAGGACAUCGUCGACGAGCGCCAGCUCUACAAGCAAUUGAGAUCGGAGAGGGACGCGAGGAGGAGGGAGCGAGCCGCCUAUCGGGAGGAUAAGCGUUCGCGGAAGCAGGCAGCUCAAUUGAAACCGAAGCUACAAGAAACGUCGGGCUGGGACUUUGAAGACGAGCAGCUUGCUGACGCCUACCUUCAAACGUCGGAGGAGGACAUUACCGAAUCGGAGUCAGAAAGCAAUGAGUAG